rnacentral:rRNA from 1 species
UACAGAGGGCGCGAGCGUUGUCCGGAAUCACUGGGCGUAAAGGGCGCGUAGGUGGCGGCAUAAGGCUGUGGUGAAAGUCCGGGGCUCAACCCCGGAUCGGCCGCGGCGACUGUGUCGCUCGGGUACUGUAGAGGCAGAUGGAAUUCCGGGUGUAGCGGUGGAAUGCGUAGAGAUCCGGAAGAACACCAGUGGCGAAGGCGGCCUGCUGGGCAGUUGCUGACACUGAGGCGCGACAGCGUGGGGAGCAAACAGG